rnacentral:rRNA from 1 species
GUGUAGCGAUACAUGGAGCUGAGCAGUACUAAUAGAUCGAGGACUUAAUC